rnacentral:sRNA from 1 species
ACGAGGUGCCCUUUCCUCGGGACGGAUUGAAGCUUCACCAACUCCGAUCUUCCAGGUCAAAGGGCACUUCUGCUGUUACGACACACUCAAGGCGCCAAUUGCAUCGGUGCAUUCAG